rnacentral:rRNA from 1 species
CCUACGGUGUGCAGCAGUAGGGAAUCUUCCACAAUGGACGAAAGUCUGAUGGAGCAACGCCGCGUGAGUGCAGCAGGGUUUCGGCUCGUAAAGCUCUGUUGGGAGUGAAGAAAGAUAGAGGUAGUAACUGGCCUUUAUUUGACGGUAAUUACUUAGAAAGUCACGGCCAACUACGUGCCAGCAGCCGCGGUAAUACGGAGGGUGCGAGCGUUAAUCGGAAUUACUGGGCGUAAAGCGCUCGUAUGCGGUAUGUCAAGUCAAGGGUGAAAUCCCCGCGCUCAACGUGGGAACUGCAUUUGAAAAUGGCAAAAUGGAGUGUGUGAGAGGAUAGUGGAAGUCCAGGUGUAGGAGUGAAAUCCGUAGAUAUCUGGAGGAACAUCAGUGGCGAAGGCGACUAUCUGGCACAUAACUGACGCUGAGGAGCGAAAGCGUGGGUAGCAAACAGGAUUAGAUACCCUUGUAGUC